GACGAACGCUGGCGGCGUGCCUAACACAUGCAAGUCGAACGGAAAGGCCCUGCUUUUGUGGGGUGCUCGAGUGGCGAACGGGUGAGUAACACGUGAGUAACCUGCCCUUGACUUUGGGAUAACUUCAGGAAACUGGGGCUAAUACCGGAUAGGAGCUCCUGCUGCAUGGUGGGGGUUGGAAAGUUUCGGCGGUUGGGGAUGGACUCGCGGCUUAUCAGCUUGUUGGUGGGGUAGUGGCUUACCAAGGCUUUGACGGGUAGCCGGCCUGAGAGGGUGACCGGCGACAUGGGGACUGAGAUACGGCCCAGACUCCUACGGGAGGCAGCAGUGGGGAAUAUUGCACAAUGGGCGGAAGCCUGAUGCAGCAACGCCGCGUGCGGGAUGACGGCCUUCGGGUUGUAAACCGCUUUCGCCUGUGACGAAGCGUGAGUGACGGUAAUGGGUAAAGAAGCACCGGCUAACUACGUG
rnacentral:rRNA from 1 species